ensembl:lncRNA
AAUGCAGACAAAGUACAGGGGGACAGGUCAUUGUACCUUUGCAAUUGAAAAUAACCUGAGUAAUGUGCAUGAGUUAUAGAAUACAUUUUUUAAGAAGUCCUGAACAGUAUCGUCAGAAAUUGCACACCAGAGGCACUUGCCAUUUAAGUGAGCUGGGCGGUUAGUGGGCUCGACAGGUGUCUGCAUGAUAUUGCCUUUAAGUAAAUAAUCAUAGGCCCCUCAUGUGCGUCUCAUGUUCAUCUAGUUAUACACAGUUUAUCAUAUCCCUAAUCCCUGAACUGUAACCUUGGCCUCCAACAUAGCUUAUAAUGACCUCAACUAAUGCAAGGCUGUGCUUAUAAAUAAGGUAAGUAUUAAGACUAUACUCACUAAGGACCCAGAAUAUAAAGAGAGGCUGAAAGAUAUAAAUACUUUCAGAGCAAAAGUGAAGUCACCCAUAAAAUGCAAUGCACCCUGGGAUUAGGGAUGGACACAUCGUUGUGACAUGGAGCUGCUAUUAGUCAGCAGAAUACGGGUGUCUAGCGUUUUGUAUAAAGAGCAAACCACCAGUUGUGCCAGUAUCCCUCUGCACAUGCACAUAAAGACACCUACUCAUCUCAUCCAACGAACUGUCUCAGAGUAUCACCAGAACUCCAGCAUGGCUCUCUCUAAGACUCAGCAGACAUUUAUGGAUGUAGCUAUUCCAUCUCUCAAAAGAGGAGUAAUUUCAUUCAAUGAACUUGCAUGCAAACUCCUCGUUACCAAUGUCUCAUACAUUCUUAAAACUCAUGUCAUGUUUGAAGAACUCCGUAAUAUAAUAGAGGCAUCUCAGAAAAGCAUUGGGCAGUCAGAGAGGGCAGCUAGCAGUGAACUGUACAAGUUAGACACACAUUAUGAGGAGCUCACAGUCCAAAAGGGAGUCCUUGAAAAAAAGAAAAGAGAGAGAAAAACACAGAGAGAUAGCUUGACCAUACAAUUAAGCCAGUGCAAGGAAACGUUAAAUGCGUACUCCAAUUCUUUGGAACGGGCCAAGAGGCUAGCUCGUGACGCACAACAACGGCUUCAGAACCAAGAACACAAGAAGAGGGAGUCACAGAAACUAAGAGAUGCUGGUUAUGGACUAUUGGCCCUCCCUAUAAUUGGGUGGAUAGCAGGGCCAAUCAUGAUUGAUGCUGGUAUCAAAGACUAUGACAACGCAUCCUACACGGCAAGACAAGCCACCGACGUGGUGCAAAGCGCUGAGAGAGACGUAGCCAAUUUUUCCUCAAAGGUGUCCCAGUUGACUUCCGAUACUGAUAACAUGAAUGGCAAAAUCAAAAACUUGUAUUGGGUGAUAGAGGGGGUAGACCGCGAGAUCUCAGACAUCAAACAGCAGCGUACUGUGAUGUCUGAUAUUCAGGCUAUGAUGAGGAGUUCUGUUACUCUUUUGGGCAGCUUGGCCAAAAGCACUAACGCAGCCGAGCUCGAGACACGCCACAUCAUGGUCCUGGGGUCGCUGAUGAAAAUCCUGCAGCAUGUGUUUGCACUUUCCGUUAAGUUGCUCGGAGACCGUUUCUACAAUGAUGCGGAGCUGAAAGGUCUCAUCAUGACUCUGCAGAAGAAUCAGCACAAACUUCAAGCGCUUCCUAAUGCAAAUAAGAAUGACUCUCUAGAUUAUUUCUCUUGAGUUUUUCUUACUUUCUCACAUACAUUUGCCUCUCGAGUUUUGCCUGCAAGCUUAUAAUGUGUGUCUGUAAUGUUUGGCACAGCUAAUGUAUGGGUCAGUUGCCUUUUGCUGUUGAAAAAAGAUAAAUAAAAAUGUGGUGUCAACAGGUGUCA